AACAGGUCUGAUUAACUAGAAUUUGCCAAGCUGAGCAGGGCAUAUGAAAGCAAAGAAAAGGCAAAACAAACGAGAGUGCUCUCCUAUCUGGACCUCAGAAUUUCUCCCAAACUGAUAGAACUGAAGAUACGACCGUCCCUCCUCAGAACAAGAGGCCUUGGCUAGACUUGCUUGUAAAAACAUGUAACAAGCCCCAAGCCAAAAGGGGCCAGCGACAACCCGGGUCGGCUAGACGCAAGAGAAGGACCUACAAGGCACAGUGCAAGCAAAAGGCCAAGAAGACCGAGACCGCGCCGGGCGCUGUUUAAAUUGGACCGUUCUUUCUGCAGGCUGGGGAGGCGCUCGCGAUCUCCCGGCAGGGGCGGUCGCCAGAGUGCAGGGACAAUGGUGCGCUAGGCACAGGCUUUUUGGGGAGGGGAACCCACGGACCCUUCAUUCAGCCCGGGUCUUUAAGACGUGCGGUGGAAGUGAGGGGCUGUCCUGGUCCCAUCAAGUAGCGCACCACGGCCGGGGACAGGCUUUUGGCCUGGGGUUUCUUAAGGAGACAAAAUGGGGUCACAACAAACAUCAAGAUACAAGGCUUCCUAGAUAUCUGCUUACAACAUCCCUUUCUCUGAUGUUCUACUUCUGACCUCACCUUCUUUCAUUUCUCCACCUGCCUCCUCAGCCUCCCUUACCCUCCCAUGAUGCUCCUCCAGCUCCUUCGCCCCUCCCAAGUCCUUCCCUCUAGAGGUCUCCCUGAACUUGAACUAGCCUCUCUCCAUGACAACAAAAGGUGUGAGAAAAAGAGUGAGCAGCUGCAGAAAUAAAUAAAUAAA